rnacentral:piRNA from 1 species
UAACUAGAAGUUUCGUUUGUCGGUUUGC